AUUGAACGCUGGCGGCAGGCCUAACACAUGCAAGUCGAACGAGUGGCGGACGGGUGAGUAAUGUAUGGGAAACUGCCUGAUGGAGAGGGAUAACUACUGGGAACGGUAGCUAAUACCGCAUACCAUCAGAUGUGCCCAGAUGGGAUUAGCUAGUUGGUGGGGUAACGGCUUACCAAGGCGACGAUCCCUACCUGGUCUGUGAGGAUGACCAUCCACACUGGAACUGAGACACGGUCCAGACUCCUACGGGAGGCAGCAGUGGGGAAUAUUGGACAAUGGGCGCAAGCCUGAUGCAGCCAUGCCGCGUGUGUGAAGAAGGUCUUCGGGUUGUAAAGUACUUUCAGCGGGGAGGCGUUACCCGCAGAAGAAGCACCGGCUAACUCCGUGCCAGCAGCCGCGGUAAUUC
rnacentral:rRNA from 1 species